rnacentral:rRNA from 1 species
UACGGGGGGGGCAAGCGUUUGUUCGGAAUUACUGGGCGUAAAGGGCGCGUAGGCGGCCCGCUAAGUCGAACGUGAAAUCCCCGAGCUCAACUCGGGAACUGCGUCCGAUACUGGCGGGCUUGAAUCCGGGAGAGGGAUGCGGAAUUCCAGGUGUAGCGGUGAAAUGCGUAGAUAUCUGGAGGAACACCGGUGGCGAAGGCGGCAUCCUGGACCGGCAUUGACGCUGAGGCGCGAAAGCUAGGGGAGCAAACGGG